CUGUUCACUUCAACAUAUAUACUAAAAUUGGAAUGAUACAGAAUAGAUUAGCAAGGCCCAGUGCAUAAGGACAACUGAAAAUUUGUGAAUCAUUCCAUAUUUUG